UUGAUUCCAACCCAAUCAAAUUUACUGAGUCAGAGCUUGGUUGUCUUGUCCUGUUUUUCUGUAUAUAGACCAUGUGCCGAGCUGUCAGUAUCUGGUGGCACUGGCUCAGCCAUGGGAGACCUGGGGGGUUGCUGCUCUACAGUGGUAUAGAAAACACUGGUCUUCCUUUUUCUUUAACCAGGGAGUGGGGAUGCAGUGUAUAUCAGAGUGAAAGGUGGCUUUGAAUAAAAAUAACCUUUUGUCUGGUCAGUCUGUUACUUAAAAUUCUGUUAAAAUUGGGUUCUGGAAGAGCUUUUGAGUCUCCUAAACUUCGUUGGGGGAGUGGAAGACUAAGAGCCUAUUCAUUAAAUUCUUUGGUUAUUUUGAAACACAUUUCUACUAAUCCUGGAAACUUAGCCAAUGUGAACCUGUUCACAUUGUGGACUGAGUAAAGCACAUUUAGUUUAUUUCCAGGAGAAGCAGGAGAUGUUGCCAGCACAGGGACCUGCUCCACGUAGCCUCACAGGGGACUUGAGACCAUUUCUCAUGCAAUAGCUAUGAGUUGGUUUAGGAAUGCUUUAAAGCCUGUGGAAGUGUUUCGUGCCCUCCAUUGCUUCAGGAAACUUUCUUAUGACCUUCCCAGGUGCACUGAACCAAUGAGCUGAUAAAAGCAGGAUUGUGAGGGCCUGUGGAACCCUCACCUGUGUAUCUUCUCACAGUGGGCAGGAAUAAUCAGGGCUCGCUGGCAGCCAGCAGUUGUCUCUUGAGCAUUGCUUAGCAUCUAAUUAAAACAUUUAUAACAGUGAAGUUAGUGUACUGAAGCAGUGAAAUUGUUUUUCUGGAUGCCAAAUGCUUCAUUAUUUAAGUUUUCUUUAAUUUUUGGAUAAUAGUGGAAUAUAAAAUGGUAUGCAGAUGUUUGUCUUUAAACAGAACAUGAGGUUAUUCCUUAAGAUGAUUACAAAAAAUACCCUUUUAAUGGUGAUUCCUGUAUUAGGUGAACCAGAGCUAUCCGUGCAAUGACUUCAUAAAUUUGUUGUGUGUAUCAGUGUUUAAAUGUUCCUCUCAUGAUUACUUGGGGAUUGCACUUAGCUCUCCUGAUGAAAUCCUUCUGCAAAAAUCACUGUAAAGUUAGUGGAAUGUCCUCAUCACUAAACUACAGACACACAGGUGCCUGUUGUCUGUGGCAUGCAUGACCCUUGUGCUACCACCAGGCUGCUCAGUCAGCUGCAGAGCUUUUCUCCAAGGUCUGCAGCUGUGAUGGCUUUGCUUGAACCCAUCCCUGGCUGAUGACUGAAGCAGCUCCUGGCGGUAGUGCAGUGUCACUGGGGCUUGUUAGAUGCUGACACCAAGCACUCUCUUCAGCUUGCUGGCCUCAACAAGAAGUUUGCCCGGACUAUUGGAAUCUCUGUGGAUCCCCGGCGAUGUAACAAGUCUACAGAGUCCCUGCAAGCCAAUGUGCAGAGGCUGAAGGAGUACCACUCCAAGCUUAUCCUCUUCCCAAGGAAGCCAGCUAUGCCGAAGAAGGGAGACUGCUCAGCUGAGAAACUCAAAAUGGCAACUCAGCUGAUUGGACAGGUUAUGCCGAUCAAGACUCACCAUGGAGUGAGCAGUGGAAAUGGAGCAAGACUGUGUUAAGCUUUGGACACGGUCCCUGGGAGGCUCUGUGUGCAGUCUGUUCUCUCUCCCACCAGGUUUUCAAGCGGGAGAAGGCUCGUGUUAUCUCGGAAGAUGAAAAGAACUUCAGGGCCUUCGUCAGCCUGUGUGUGGUUCGGGCUGACGCCCGACUUUUUGGGAUCCGUACAAAACGUGCCAAAGUAGCAGCAGAGCAUGAUUCGGAGAAGAAAUGAGCCAUUCUCCCUAGAACUGUCAAUAAAAAAAUGUGGAAA